GGAGAAAACCAAUGUAAAGUUUAUUAAGCGAACUGAUCAUUCGUACACAUUUUCCAUCUGGUUAUAAUGGAUAGUCUUUAUUUAUAGCAAAAUACUUGGGAUGGGAUUAUGCAUACGGUAAUCUUGCUGUAUGGGUCUUGUUACAAUGCAGAGUAUUCAAGCAAAUCUGAGUGUGGAUCCAUGCAAGCAGGAAUAUCAUAUAUAAUAUCUUAGUAAAUUCAGCACAGACAUGGAAUACUAAGAAUGGGGCACCAACCAAUCAGAAUAACCACUCAAAAACCAAUCCAUGUAUUUGACAGACUGUAUCCAAGGAAUUUUGAUAGUUUCCAAGGAUGUAGUAAAAAAUAAGAAUUAGUCACCAUUUUCAAACAGCAGUCACUGUUGGGAUUCCCCAGGUACCAUUAAAAAGCAGGCAGACUCCAUCAACACUUAUUCCAUAAAAAUAAAAAUAAUGGAAAAAUAAAAAGGAAUUAUGAGAAGAUGAAAAAGCAAACAAUCAUUCUGAACAUACAGGAAUAAGAAAGGCCUUGCAAACUGACAUAUGAAUUGGGUCUUAGAUAUUAAGUCAAAGCUUAUAAUAUUCCCAACAUUUAAAGUGCCUUAUUUCUCUCCUGAGCACCCACACAAUUGUUUAUCCCAUCCCAUUUAUUGUCUGACACAAAGUAUUUUGAUGCCUGGAAAUACAUGAAAUCCUCAGAAUGGAGAAAUUUAGAUACAGGUUUCCAGCUGAGAAGACUGCCCCACUGAUCAAGUCCACUCUCAACUCCCUGGCUCAUUACACUUAUAAAUAAACAAUCAUCAAUGUUCCUUUGAAGUUGCAACACAAGGACAAGUUCCAUUUUGUAGCAUUUUGUUCCAGACUGUUCAUUAAAUGGUACUUAUAAAUUCACAUGAAUCAUGACCCUCCUCUCCACAAAAUGAAUACAUGCACUACUUUAUUCAAAAGUUUAUCUCAACCACAUACAACAGUGACUAAACCUUUCCCGGAAGGGAGCAAAUAUAAAAAUCAACAUUUACAGCCUUCUUGUUUCUUCUGAAUGAUUCAAGUGACUCUGAUACAGCAUUUCUCUUGCUGAUCAUACUAUAUAAUAUUUAAUACCUUACUUUUUAGCACUGUAAUACAAAGGGUUCACUGAAGAUUGGCCCAGAAUUUUUUUCACAGGAGAAAGUCACUGAGAAAACAGAAUGGAAAAUAUGUUUUGUUUAUUUGGUGACCUCUAUAGAUG
rnacentral:lncRNA from 1 species